rfam:Rattus norvegicus chromosome 11, whole genome shotgun sequence.
GGGGAUUUGGCUCAGUGGUAGAGCGCUUGCCUAGGAAGCACAAGGUCCUGGGUUCGGUCCCCAGCCCUG